AUCCAGAGGGUCGAAUACGAAGGC
rnacentral:sRNA from 1 species